rnacentral:rRNA from 1 species
CCUACGGGAGGCAGCAGUCGAGAAUCAUUCACAAUGGGGGAAACCCUGAUGGUGCGACGCCGCGUGGGGGAAUGAAGGUCUUCGGAUUGUAAACCCCUGUCAUGUGGGAGCAAAUUAAAAAGAUAGUACCACAAGAGGAAGAGACGGCUAACUCUGUGCCAGCAGCCGCGGUAAUACAGAGGUCUCAAGCGUUGUUCGGAAUCACUGGGCGUAGAGCGUGCGUAGGCUGUUUCGUAAGUCGUGUGUGAAAGGCGCGGGCUCAACCCGCGGACGGCACAUGAUACUGCGAGACUAGAGUGAGGGAGGGGGAAGGGGAAUUCUGGGGGGAGGGGUAA